UCAUUUCUUUUCCAUGUAAUAGAGCCUGAAGAAGCCAAUAAACAUUUGGCGAAACGCGUCGCUGGAUAGCAUAAAUGCUGUUUUUUCUUUCCUUUUUCUGACUGCGUACACCGAUUGAAAAAAUUCAACAAAUUACAACAGUCGUGAAAUAUUCUACAUCAACACCUUUUUCGGUUAUUUUCUCCUCAAUCAUCCUUUCUCCUCAUCACAUUUCCGCCAUCCCCACCGAAUGAAUUGGAUCUACACACAUUUUUGGGCUUUUUCCUGGUUAAGGAUUUAUGCUUUAAAGAAAUUCAUGUCUUUUCUGCGCGGGAUGACUUGCAUCAUUGGGGAAAGAAGGUUUUUUCCCACGGGACUGGUUUCUUGCCCACACACUGACAAGUACCGCUUCCAUUGGAAAUUUGGUUGGCUUGCCGAUCAGCUGCAUGACACACUGCAGCAAAAAAUCUUCACAACCAUCGGACAUUGCACACACACAAACCAUCAGCGACUCUUGCACUCUCUUUGUGUCGUCUUCAUCCUUAGUGAUUUGGAUGCCAGCACAGUGUUUAGUCGUUUUUUAUCUUGCUCUAUGUAAUUUUGCAUGAAAUUUUCUAAUUUUUAUUGUGAUGUGUCCCUUUCUGAGGUGGGAAAUUUAUUUCCUACAGUUUUUUGACAAAAAAACAGCCCCAUGCUGAUAGCCUGAAGAAGCCAAUAAACAUUUGGCGAAACGCGUCGCUGGAUAGCAUAAA